AACGAACGCUGGCGGCAGGCCUAACACAUGCAAGUCGAACGAUGUAGCAAUACAUAGUGGCGCACGGGUGAGUAACGCGUGGGAAUGUACCUUUUAGUGGGGGAUAACUCCGGGAAACUGGAGCUAAUACCGCAUACGCCCUUCGGGGGAAAGAUUUAUCGCUAAAAGAUCAGCCCGCGUGAGAUUAGGUAGUUGGUGGGGUAAUGGCCUACCAAGCCUACGAUCUCUAGCUGGUCUCAGAGGAUGAUCAGCCACACUGGAACUGAGACACGGUCCGGACUCCUACGGGAGGAAGCAGUGGGGAAUAUUGGGGAAUGGGCGCAAGCCUGACCCAGCCAUGCCGCGUGAGUGAUGAAGGCUCUAGGGUUGUAAAGCUCUUUCGCCGAUGAAGAUAAUGACGGUAGUCGGAGAAGAAGCCCCGGCUAACUUCGUGCCAGCCGCCGCAGUAA
rnacentral:rRNA from 1 species